rnacentral:rRNA from 1 species
GACGAACGCUGGCGGCGUGCUUAACACAUGCAAGUCGAGCGGUAAGGCCCUUUCGGGGGUACACGAGCGGCGAACGGGUGAGUAACACGUGAGUGACCUGCCCUCAGCUCUGGGAUAAGCCUGGGAAACCGGGUCUAAUACCGGAUAUGACUCCAUGACGCAUGUUGUGGGGUGGAAAGCCUUGUGCGGCUGAGGAUGGGCCCGCGGCCUAUCAGCUUGUUGGUGGGGUGANGGCCUACCAAGGCGACGACGGGUAGCCGGCCUGAGAGGGCGACCGGCCACACUGGGACUGAGACACGGCCCAGACUCCUACGGGAGGCAGCAGUGGGGAAUCUUGCGCAAUGGGCGAAAGCCUGACGCAGCGACGCCGCGUGAGGGAUGACGGCC